AGGUUCUCUCGAAUGAUUCACACUCGUGGAAUGCGAUGUGGCAAUGUACCGGGAGGGCAAAACUAGACGACGCGCAUAAGUAACGGAAAACGGCGUUGGAGGAGGAGGAGAGGGGAAGAAGAGAUCGACGUGCGGUGUCUGCACACUUCGUUGAUUCCCUUCGAGUUGUUGGUGUUUCCACCUCGCGAGAAGUUGUCCGGAUAUUACGUCACGUUUUGACUUCGCUUCGAAUCGCUUUCCAUUCAUCGAUCACAUUUUCGAUUCCUCUUCGUGCGUUUAUUUUAUAUAUAAAUAUAUAUAUUUAGGUUUUAAGGAUUCUUAAAUUGCGAAAACUCGUUUCCUCCUUCGGUCUCGUUUCUUUGAGAUUCUUGAUCGCAAAAAUUUCUUCUUGGAUUUUUACCAGAUCUUCCGUAACGAAUUAUUUUAUUCUUAUUACGAUUCAUGUUAAUACUUUGGCUCAGAUGAUGAUCUUAAAUUCUUCUCUAUGAUAAAGUAAGUUUAUUUUAAAUCAACAAAUAAUCGAACAUAGUUGAUGUAACUAUCUUUAACAACCGUUAAUUUAAGUAUUAUAAAUUAUAAAACGGUGAUCCGCCAUUCAAAUAUAAAAGUAUAUGUUUAAGCCACUAUAAAAUUUAUGUGAAAUUAUCUUGUUAAAUGGAUAAACAUUAAAUUGCUUUUUUUCACAUCCGUCUUAGGAUAACUUGGAUAUCUAGUUAACUGUUCUUCGUGUAUCUCUAGGUGAAAAAAAGUGUUUAAAGAAGUAGGAAACGUGUACAGAUAGUACAAAUAGCUUUGCGAUAAUAUAAUGUCUAUUGUGUGGACGGAAAAUUUAAGAGAAGUAAAAUAAAAAAAAAAGAAAAACCAGAAAAGUUUACAUUAAAAAAAUGACAUAACCUAUGCUACGACGCCAAUUUUCUAUUCGACGUCAAACUUUUCCAGCGAAUUGCACUCGUUAUUAACCUUUGAAACUUAACGUUCAAUAUUGAAAUCCUAACCUAACUUUUAUCUAUUUUUUAAAUUAAUUUAACGAUUGAGAACCACUGCUCUAAUGGAAUCCUUUUUAAAAUAAUAAUCAACCGUUAAAUAGUAAUAGGAUUUAUCAAGUGUGUCGUCUGGUCGCAUGAAAGAGCUAAUAUGUACAAGGAUCUUUUAACGUUACGUCUGCAAAUAGGAAACUGGACAGUAUACGGAGAAAGGCAUCUAAACUCGGACAAGCUUACUCACUCGUCCAUGAAUGCACCGCCGUUUUCAAAUUCUUUGCCGACACAUGGAGAGAAAGAGGAAGAGAAAAAAAAAAAAAGGAAAAAAAGGAGAAAAAGAAAAAGAAAAUUGCAGACAACAUUACGGCCGCUAAAUUGACUGGAAACGCGGCAGGCCAGAAAAUACGAGGCAGGUGAAUUGCAGUUUUGUCGAUCUAAUUUGAAACUUUUCAUCGGGCUGUCGUUCAAUAUAUUCAUAAAUUAGCACAAGAAAGUAUUAAAUCAUUCGACUCACUUCCUUUUCCUUCAUCUUCGAAUGUUCGGAGAUGAGGUUAGAAUGCCAUUGUUAUCCUCUAUCGUUCGUUAUUUUAUAUUAAAAAAAAAAAUCUUUCUUCUUCAAGAAUAUUACACUUAUGCUGCUUUAAUCCAACUUUAUUCUACUAUUCUUUAUUAAAAAUAUAAUAUUUAAACUUCUUGUGUAAAUUCAAACUAAACACCAACGUAACCUAACCUAACCUAAAAUUGAACGAAAUCAUUUAUACCAAAUCGAGUAAUUUAAACUUAAAUUUACGUAUAUUUGUUUAUUUUCAUCGUAAUAAUUAUUUAUAUAUGAAAAACACAUUAAAAAUUUAUUUAAGAUUAACUUUUAGAAAAUUAAAGAAUAAUAUCUUUAAAUACUGGUGUACGUAAUAUACAUUUAUAAUGAAAAAAAAAAAUUUUUUCUUCAAAAA